GCCUGCCUGUGACUCAUAGUUUAACGGCCGCGGUAUUUUGACCGUGCAAAGGUAGCGCAAUCACUUGUCUUUUAAAUGAAGACCUGUAUGAAUGGCAUUACGAGGGCUUAACUGUCUCUUUCCCCCUGUCAAUGAAAUUGAUCUCCCCGUGCAGAAGCGGGGAUUUAAUCAUAAGACGAGAAGACCCUAUGGAGCUUUAGACGCAAGAACAGCCAAUGUUAAGAAUUCUAAAUUAAAAGACAAAACCAAUUGAAACCUGAACUAGUGUCUUUGGUUGGGGCGACCAUAGAGCAUACAAAACCCCUAUGAAGAAUAAACAUACUAUGUUUUGAACCAAGAGUGACAACUCUAAGCAACAGAACUUCUGACCUAGUAGAUCCGGUAUUACCGAUCAACGAAACGAGUUACCCUAGGGAUAACAGCGCAAUCCCCUUUUAGAGCCCACAUCGACAAGGGGGUUUACGACCUCGAUGUUGGAUCAGGACAUCCUAAUGGUGCAGCCGCUAUUAAGGGUUCGUUUGUUCAACGAUUAAAGUCCUACGUGAUCUGA
rnacentral:rRNA from 1 species